rnacentral:rRNA from 1 species
CGCGGCCUAUCAGCUUGUUGGUGGGGUGAUGGCCUACCAAGGCGACGACGGGUAGCCGGCCUGAGAGGGCGACCGGCCACACUGGGACUGAGACACGGCCCAGACUCCUACGGGAGGCAGCAGUGGGGAAUAUUGCACAAUGGGCGGAAGCCUGAUGCAGCGACGCCGCGUGAGGGAUGACGGCCUUCGGGUUGUAAACCUCUUUCAGUAGGGACGAAGCGCAAGUGACGGUACCUACAGAAGAAGCGCCGGCCAACUACGUGCCAGCAGCCGCGGUAAGACGUAGGGCGCGAGCGUUGUCCGGAUUUAUUGGGCGUAAAGAGCUCGUAGGCGGCUUGUCGCGUCGACUGUGAAAUCCCGCGGCUCAACCGCGGGUCUGCAGUCGAUACGGGCAGGCUAGAGUUCGGUAGGGGAGACUGGAAUUCCUGGUGUAGCGGUGAAAUGCGCAAAUAUCAGGAGGAACACCGAUGGCGAAGGCAGGUCUCUGGGCCGAUACUGACGCUGAGGAGCGAAAGCGUGGGGAGCGAACAGGAUUAGAUACCCUGGUAGUCCACGCUGUAAACGUUGGGCGCUAGGUGUGGGGGACCUCUCCGGUUCUCUGUGCCGCAGCUAACGCAUUAAGCGCCCCGCCUGGGGAGUACG